GGCCACCUUCGGUGCAUGGCCGCCUAGGUGUCAGGUCGGAAAUGGGCCACCUUCGGUGCGUGGCCGCCUAGGUGUCACGUCGACGCUCCAACCUAGCUGGUAUCACGAAAAGCCGAGCGUUGGAGAUCUCCCUACUCAUCUCUGGUAUUAUGCCACCAUCCACUAAACGUU